GUAGGGAAUAUUGGUCAAUGGAUGCAAGUCUGAACCAGCCAUGCCGCGUGCAGGAAGAAGGCCUUCUGGGUUGUAAACUGCUUUUGUCAGGGGAUAAAAAGCUCGUGCGCGAGCAAUUGCAGGUACCUGAUGAAUAAGCCACGGCUAACUACGUGCCAGCAGCCGCGGUAAUACGUAGGUGGCAAGCGUUGUCCGGAUUUAUUGGGUUUAAAGGGUGCGUAGGCGGCCCUGUAAGUCAGUGCUGAAAUACCCCGGCUUAACCGGGGGGGUGGCAUUGAUACUGCAGGGCUUGAGUACAGAUGAAGUAGGCGGAAUUGACGGUGUAGCGGUGAAAUGCAUAGAUAUCGUCAAGAACUCCGAUAGCGAAGGCAGCUUACUAAGCUGUAACUGACGCUGAGGCACGAAAGUGUGGGGAUCAAACAGGAUUAGAAACCCUAGUAGUCC
rnacentral:rRNA from 1 species